CCUUGUAACACCCUAGUCAGGCAUUUAUGACAUCCUAGUCAUACACAAUCAACUAUAUAAUACAUACAGACAACAUAUCUUUGUAAUAAUUGUUCUACUGUAUCUAUCACACCUACAUGUAUAAGGUCUACAUCUAACACCCCAAUCAUGCCCUCAUAGCACCCUAGUCAGGCAUUUGGGAUAUCCUAGUCAUACACAAUCAACUAUACAAUACAUACAGACAUCAUAUCUUUGUAAUAAUUGUUCUAUUGUAUCUAUCACA
rnacentral:lncRNA from 1 species